rnacentral:lncRNA from 1 species
ACAAAACGUGUAUAAUAGGCUGUCUCGUGCAAUAUACUUAUUAUCAUAUACCACAUAAUUAUUUAGACACAUAAUCACAUUCAUUCAUAUUAUAAUCAAUUUAAUUAAAUACUACAUAUAUCUAUCAUACAAUAGAGUCAUGUAAAUUAUGAACCUAUUAUCUUCAUGAACACCAUCUCCAUCUUCGUCCUGUAAACUUAGAAAUUCAUCAUCUCCUUUAGUCUUAAAACUUUGAAAAGUUCAUCAAACCUAUUUCCAUUUAUCUAAUUCGUGAUUUCUCUUCUCUUACUUACCACUGAAAAAGAAGGAUAUUGUCUUCGUUUUGGGCUGAAUUUGUAAUGGCAGAUUCUCUCUCCUUAUACAUCAUCGAAGUUUGAAGUAAAACUAAAAUUCGAGUUAUUGGAUUAUGGUUCUAAAUCUAUUAAAGACUAGAGUUUUGAAGUGAUGUUUUGCUUAAUAGAAUCGAUG